CGGCCACAUGAAACCGAAGUCACCGUGCCCUGCAAGCUGAGGAGCACCAGGCAGUUACAGGCACCAUCAAUUCCUUUAGCAGAACUGGGACUGGCUUCCUGACCCACAGGAGGUGACUAUCCGUAAGCUCAGGCUGCAUGGCAAAUACAGAAAGAGUAUCCUCUUUUACUCAAGGUAACCAGCCUCGCCAACUAUUUCAUCACUUCUUCCCGAGCCCUCCUCCUUGGGUAGCCUGGUGAACUUCCACUUCUGAGAUCAUUUUAAAGGAACCUGGCCCAGCCAAGUUAAUUUCUUUCUAUCCUUCCCUGCUUUCUCAUGGAUCAAGAUCAUUUUUUCUUGUUAUUAUGAAACAAGUAAUUUUCUUAGACUUCUUUGUCUAAAAAAAAAUAAAAAAUA